rnacentral:lncRNA from 1 species
GGUGAUCCUCAUGGUGUGAUCUUACACGAGGGAGAGAGGGAAAGUCGUGCCCCGCGUCGGGUUUUCGGAUUUAUGUUCGGGUCGGGUCUAUUUAAGUGGAGAACCAUUUAUGUUAGAGCAUCAGCAUCGACGUCCUUAUUGGACGUCCUUAGUGUUUUUGGGUUUAAAAAUAAAUCAAAAAGCCCAAAAUCAAAACAAACGGAUGUUAACUUAGAUCUGUUCGAUGGGCGUCCUUAGUGGCACG